CUUCCAGGCGAGCCCCGCGCCUGCCGCACGAUGAGCGACGGCGCCCAGCGAGGCCUGGCCAGCUCGGGGCAGCAGCACAUCGCGGACAUUCUCCACCCGCUGUCCGCCGCCGUCGAGCCGCUGUCCCCCGGGCAAGAUGUCAGCGUCACCGCUGGGGGCGACAAGGAGGCAGGGCUGUCCAAUGGCACGCCAGUGGACACGCCAAGUCCCGCCUCGGCAUCGUCGCUGUUCAACAGGCUGCAGCUGGACGACAUCGAGUCAGAACCCCAGGACCGCUAUGGCUCCACCGAAACGCGUGACCUGUUUGUCACGGUGGAUGACCCAAAGAAGCAUGUCUCAACCAUGGAGACUUACAUCACCUACAGAGUGUCCACCAAGACAACGCGGAUCGAGUUCGACUUGCCGGAAUACUGCGUGCGACGACGCUACCAAGACUUCGAUUGGCUGAGGAUCAAACUGGAGGACAGCCAGCCCACCCAUCUCAUCCCUCCCCUGCCAGAGAAGUUCGUGAUGAAGGGCGUGGUGGAUCGUUUUUCGGAAGAGUUUGUCGAAACGCGCAUGAAGGCGCUGGACAAGUUCUUGAAGCGAGUUGCGGACCACCCAGUCCUCUCUUUUAACACACAUCUCAAUGCUUUUCUGUCAGCUAAGGACCUUAACAAGCGUCAGGGUCUGGCACUGCUCACCAAGGUGGGCGAGUCGGUGAAGCAUGUGGCCGGAGGCUACAAGCUGAGGGGGCGGCCGGCCGAGUUCUGCGCCAUGGGAGAGUACCUGGACACCUUCAGCCAGAAACUGGGCACCAUCGACCGCAUCGCUCAGAGGAUCCUCAAAGAGCAGUCAGAGUACUUAGCUGAGCUGCGUGAGUACAGCACUGUGUACUCCAGUUGGACGGGCUCGGAAGAGGAGCUGCAGCACCCCCUGGAGGGGUUGGCGGGCUCCAUUUCGACGUGUUGCGGGGCGAUGGACGACCAGUGUGAGAACAUGGGCCAGGACUUCCUGCCUGUUCUCAGAGAGUAUAUGCUCUACAUCGAGUCCAUGAAGAAUGUUUUGAAGAAGCGUGACCAGAGUCAGGCGGAGUACGAGGGACGCCUGGAAGCCGCCGUGCUACGCAAACAGGAGGACAGAACGCCUGAUUUAGGACCCUGUAGCAGUAGUCCUUUUGUGUGUCCCGCUAGAUGCCACCCGAGGUGGAGCGGUGCCAGGACAAGGUGGAAUGUUUCAACGCCGACUUAAAGGCCGACUGGGAGCGCUGGCAGAGCAACAAGCGACACGACUUCAAGCAGCUUCUCAGCGGCAUGGCCGACAAAAACAUCAAUUACUAUGAGAAGUGCCAAGCAGCGUGGGAGUCACUCCUAAGUGUCCUGCAGGACAAACAGACUGAGGAUCAAACGAGUGAGACGGACUGAAGCGUCUGGUCACGCUGGCCUGUUGGCUCUCGUCCAUCACACACUUUUUCACGCCAAGAACCAAGCGGGCCUUUGGCCCCCAACUGUAGGACCGUGUCCCCGUUCUCCCGAGUCGACUGUCAUUAUCGGACCUAUCCAGGAGACAGUGAAUGCAGCGUACAGUACGUGUAUGUGACCAGCAGUGACCUAUCUUUUUGUCACCGCUCUUUUUCUACUUCAUAUCGCCCGUUAACAGUUGCCAAUGCUGCUUAUUUAACCACGUGCUAAAGGAGCGUGUUUAAUUUUUUCCUCAUCCUAUUUACAGUUUGAGACAAGGGUACUUUUUUUUUUUUUUUUUUUUCCUCCCCUUGGUCAGAUAUUGUCAGUCGGAUUCCAGUCAGCAACCUGCAGAUAGAGCCACAAACUCAUUCCCCCUCAAUUACCUGUUAAAGAUCUUUUUUCAAAGGUUCUCAAAUGUUUUUGUCCUUCCACUUAUGUCAGAUCACUUUAAAAAUCCAUUUGCAGAAAGCUGAAACUUGCCGCGGUGUCUGCGUUUCACAACACGGCCCUGGAAAUGCUGCGGCAGCUUUGCGUAACGGCCUCAGACGAGCGCAUUAGCUGUUCUGAUUCCUAUUUGAUUCACGUCCUUCAGCCAGACAGACAGUGAGCAGCUAAGGUGUCCCAUUUGAAGGCUGAGCACCAUUGGAUCGAUCUCUCUUUCGAUUAGUUUGCCACGAAAUCACUCUCACUAAUUAGAGGAUGUUUUCUAGCUCGUCACCUCCGCUGUGGCUCAAGGGAAAUAUUUUGAAAAGAGAAACGGUACUGCAACUUUAGCUGGUGGCAUCAUCUUCUUCUCUUUAAAUGUUUCUUAAAUGACCUUGCUUUAAGGAAAAUGUCCACCUAUGUAAUGUUGGAGACCUCACACUUGAUAGAUGGCUUGGAGCAGUAUGAAUAAAAAAACACUCUAUUGGAUCAAAAUAAGGAUUAUAACAGCGUAUUGGAUGACAUCUAGUGGUAAACAAGGGUUUAUCCAUUUUAUCUUGCAAAUCUCUGCUGCCUCUUUCCAGUCAUUUGCUUUUAUUUUGUAGUUAUAUUUUCUUGUUUACAGUGCAAAUGACCUCUCAGUUCAGUUCUAAAUAAUAACUAAAUAAUUUGACAGUGUCAUUCAAAAAUGAGUUAUGUUUUUAAGUCCAGAUUGUUUUGAUACAGCGAUCGUUAGUUACACAAAGUGAUUCAACCACUAUUGUAAAUUACAUUUAUUUGCUUUCAAUAGAAGGGCACUUUCAAAUAAACAAUUGCCGCUUGUAAUUUUAGCUGUCUUGAGCUAUUUAAAUUAUUCUUGUUUUGUUGAAGUCUGGUACCGUUGCAAAUAAAUAUGGUUUCAAUGGGGAUAUUAAUGUAGGACUAAUUUUGAGUGCAUCUGCAUAGUCCUGAUAGUAAAAGACAAUGCCUGGUCUGUUACAUAUGAACUUAAAAAGCACAAGAAGUAUGAGGGAAUUGUAAUUUCAGUACUGUUGUAAUCAGAUUUCAAGAUGGCUACAGCUUGGGGAUGUGCCUGGUCGCCAGUUGGCUUGCCUUCUAAGCAAAUGUUCUGCUGUAUUUUGGUUGAAAUCUAAUUAAAGAGCAUACAUUUGCUUAAGAAGCACCACAAGGCCUCCUGAAAUCGAACUGUUUCAGCAGAGGCGCAGACUAAAAUAAGCUCUCGAUCUGUUGAUACUUACGACUGAAUGUAGCAGUUGCUAAUAUUUAAAAGGAAAUGAUUAAAAACUGUUUCAUUUAAGUAGAGUUUUUUUGUUUUGUGUAAUGUAUCCCAAAUGUACAGCCGAGAAGUUGUCGGUUGAUCCAUUUAAUGUGAAAAUGUAACCAUUAUAGAAGGGAUGAAACAUUCUCAACAACAAUAUUAAGCUAAUGUAGUGAAAGAAUUGACUUUGUUGUUGUUGUUUGAAUCAGAGAUGCUAAUUUGAACCUCAACAGCAUCUCUUCUAUUUUUGUCAUAGCGUAAUGUUAGUUUGCCUGCUGAUUUAUUGCUGCACGAUACACGAUUCCUCCUACUUGCUUUUUUUCUUUUCUAAAAAAUGUCUUUUGAGUUGCCAAAAGUUAAAAUCCUGGUGGCAAUUUUCCUUUGUAUUUUGAUAAUGCAGAAUGUUGAAACCCUAAAUGAAGACAAGAUGACUGCCAACACCUAUUCUGUACAAAGAGAUGUUUGUUUGAAUCUACAAAUCUUUAGAAAAAUGACCAAGUCCUAAUGUCCUAAUAAUUUCCUUCAUUACAUCACAGGAAUAAUAUGAUCACGUUAAUGUUUAUUUUUCAAAAAGCUAAGUGCUAAUGACUUCAGUUAUUUUCUGCCUUUUGCUCCCUGAUGUUUACAUUUUACUUUCGGUCCAUUUUGUACACUUGAACAUCUUGUAAUUACGUAUAAAUAUAAAGCCUGUAUAUUGAUGUUGGUUUGAUGCAAUUAUCUUUACCUCAAAUUAUUUUGGAAUAUAUUGGACCAAUAUUAAAAUAAAUUGAUUUGAUAUUUA